rnacentral:lncRNA from 1 species
UUUUUAUUUUUCUAACACACUAAUUUUAUAUAAUUGUGACACCCCAAUAAUCCCACAUCGAAUAGUAUGACUAGAUGUGGGAAUAUAUAAGCUUAAUUAGGCUAAACAUAAUAACCGGGCUUAAGUAUUUUGGACCGGUGGUUUAGACUCAAUGAGUUAUUAUUGCUAGCGAGUCGGAUCAUUACAGCAAUUUCAUGAUUAGAAUAAAGAUUUUUUUUGUUAUUAUAGUUAGCUUAUAAUGUAUUGGGUUAAGUGAUAGAUGAUAAUUUAUAUAAAAAUUUUAAAAGCAAAAAAAAAGUUAUUGUCAAGCUUUUUAGUUUUUGUCACAAAGUAAAUAAUUCGGAUAAAAGGAGAGCUAGUUAUACACCUUUUGGUAUGCAAAAUUUUAUUUAAAAAUUAAAAAAAUAAAUAUUAUACUAAAUAAAAUCUUAUGAGAUAUAAGAUGUACACUCUCUAAUAGUUCAUCAUAUAGAUAGUUUUCAAGUCAUUAUUGGGGAUGUCAAUGGGUCGAAUUUAGGACCGGUUUUUAAAAAUUUGAAUUAGAACAUUCUAGAACCAGUCGGGUUUUGAAAUUCAUAGCCAAAAUUGAACCCCACAAAAACUGUAAGCCAAAACCGAACUAAAAAAUCCGAACCCGCAAGCAAUCAUUUCUCUUUACCAAAAUCAAAAGCGUAUUAUGUUUAAAUCUAAAUUUAAUAAUACAAAUUUAAAUGUUUAUAUAUUAUAAAAGGAUAAUAUCUAAUAUGUCUUCAAAACUUACAAAAAAAAAUAUCUCAUUCACUCCCAGAUAACCAAAAUAUUCUUAUUGAUUCUAAAAAAAUUCGUCAAAUAUCUUCUUUUCCUCUAACAUUUACUAAUGAGAUCAAAUUUUAGAUAAGUAUUUUAGGUAUUGAAGGAUAGAUUUGAAAAUUUUCAGUAGCAGCAAAGGCUAUAUAAGAAAAAGUCCUACUAUACAAUAUAAAAUUGGUUCAAAUUUUGCUUAGUAUUUGCAUUCGAAUGAGGUACAAAGAAAAGCAUACCCGAACUUAAAUCCGUCAUAUUUUUAUUUUUUUAUACACAUAAUUGAAAUCAUAUAUGUUAAAUCAGUUCCGUUCGAGUUUGAGUU